GAAGGGUGGAGCCACAAUUUACGUUUCCUUUUGGACCAGACUGCCGACUGUAUAUGCUAUAUAUACACAUCUCCAAAUCAUAGGAGAGGCACAUGUCCAGACUCACAGCAAAAGAGUGUGCAAGCAACAGGAUGAAACAUGUGACAGACAGAGGAAGAAGAUGACAUACGGAGAGGCUUCAUCCAGCAGUCUGAGUGUCACUAUAUGUAGACUUCCUGUGCAUCGAGCUGAGCCAGGGACUGUUUCCU